UACGUAGGGGGCUAGCGUUGUCCGGAAUCAUUGGGCGUAAAGCGCGCGUAGGCGGCCCGGUAAGUCCGUUGUGAAAGUCAAAGGCUCAACCUUUGAAUGCCGAUGGAUACUGCCGGGCUCGAGUCCGGAAGAGGCGAGUGGAAUUCCUGGUGUAGCGGUGGAAUGCGCAGGAUAUCAGGAGGAACACCGGUGGCGAAGGCGGGUCUCUGGGCCGAUGACUGACGUGAGGAGCGAAAGCGUGGGGAGCGAACAGG
rnacentral:rRNA from 1 species